rnacentral:rRNA from 1 species
GGGUUGUGAGGUUAAGCGACUAAGCGUACACGGUGGAUGCCCUGGCAGUCAGAGGCGAUGAAGGACGUGCUAAUCUGCGAUAAGCGUCGGUAAGGUGAUAUGAACCGUUAUAACCGGCGAUUUCCGAAUGGGGAAACCCAGUGUGUUUCGACACACUAUCAUUAACUGAAUCCAUAGGUUAAUGAGGCGAACCGGGGGAACUGAAACAUCUAAGUACCCCGAGGAAAAGAAAUCAACCGAGAUUCCCCCAGUAGCGGCGAGCGAACGGGGAGGAGCCCAGAGCCUGAAUCAGUGUGUGUGUUAGUGGAAGCGUCUGGAAAGGCGCGCGAUACAGGGUGACAGCCCCGUACACAAAAAUGCACAUGCUGUGAGCUCGAUGAGUAGGGCGGGACACGUGGUAUCCUGUCUGAAUAUGGGGGGGCCAUCCUCCAAGGCUAAAUACUCCUGACUGACCGAUAGUGAACCAGUACCGUGAGGGAAAGGCGAAAAGAACCCCGGCGAGGGGAGUGAAAAAGAACCUGAAACCGUGUACGUACAAGCAGUGGGAGCAUGCUUAGGCGUGUGACUGCGUACCUUUUGUAUAAUGGGUCAGCGACUUAUAUUCUGUAGCAAGGUUAACCGAAUAGGGGAGCCGAAGGGAAACCGAGUCUUAACUGGGCGUUAAGUUGCAGGGUAUAGACCCGAAACCCGGUGAUCUAGCCAUGGGCAGGUUGAAGGUUGGGUAACACUAACUGGAGGACCGAACCGACUAAUGUUGAAAAAUUAGCGGAUGACUUGUGGCUGGGGGUGAAAGGCCAAUCAAACCGGGAGAUAGCUGGUUCUCCCCGAAAGCUAUUUAGGUAGCGCCUCGUGAACUCAUCUCCGGGGGUAGAGCACUGUUUCGGCAAGGGGGUCAUCCCGACUUACCAACCCGAUGCAAACUGCGAAUACCGGAGAAUGUUAUCACGGGAGACACACGGCGGGUGCUAACGUCCGUCGUGAAGAGGGAAACAACCCAGACCGCCAGCUAAGGUCCCAAAGUCAUGGUUAAGUGGGAAACGAUGUGGGAAGGCCCAGACAGCCAGGAUGUUGGCUUAGAAGCAGCCAUCAUUUAAAGAAAGCGUAAUAGCUCACUGGUCGAGUCGGCCUGCGCGGAAGAUGUAACGGGGCUAAACCAUGCACCGAAGCUGCGGCAGCGACGCUUAUGCGUUGUUGGGUAGGGGAGCGUUCUGUAAGCCUGUGAAGGUGUACUGUGAGG